GUGGGGAAUAUUGGACAAUGGGGGGAACCCUGAUCCAGCCAUGCCGCGUGUGUGAAGAAGGCCUUUUGGUUGUAAAGCACUUUAAGCGAGGAGGAGGCUACCGAGAUUAAUACUCUUGGAUAGUGGACGUUACUCGCAGAAUAAGCACCGGCUAACUCUGUGCCAGCAGCCGCGGUAAUACAGAGGGUGCAAGCGUUAAUCGGAUUUACUGGGCGUAAAGCGCGCGUAGGUGGCCAAUUAAGUCAAAUGUGAAAUCCCCGAGCUUAACUUGGGAAUUGCAUUCGAUACUGGUUGGCUAGAGUAUGGGAGAGGAUGGUAGAAUUCCAGGUGUAGCGGUGAAAUGCGUAGAGAUCUGGAGGAAUACCGAUGGCGAAGGCAGCCAUCUGGCCUAAUACUGACGCUGAGGUGCGAAAGCAUGGGGAGCAAACAGGAUUAGAUACCCUAGUAGUCC
rnacentral:rRNA from 1 species